rnacentral:rRNA from 1 species
GUCUAUGGCCGUGCUAUCCUGAACGAGCCCAAUCCUGUCUGAUCUUGGAAGCUAAGCAAGGUCGGGCCUGGUUAGUACUUUGAUGGGAGACCACCUAGAAAGACCAGGUGCUGUAGGCU